rnacentral:rRNA from 1 species
GACGAACGCUGGCGGCGUGCUUAACACAUGCAAGUCGAACGGAAAGGCCCUGCUUUUGUGGGGUGCUCGAGUGGCGAACGGGUGAGUAACACGUGAGUAACCUGCCCUUGACUUUGGGAUAACUUCAGGAAACUGGGGCUAAUACCGGAUAGGAGCUCCUGCUGCAUGGUGGGGGUUGGAAAGUUUCGGCGGUUGGGGAUGGACUCGCGGCUUAUCAGCUUGUUGGUGGGGUAGUGGCUUACCAAGGCUUUGACGGGUAGCCGGCCUGAGAGGGUGACCGGCCACAUGGGGACUGAGAUACGGCCCAGACUCCUACGGGAGGCAGCAGUGGGGAAUAUUGCACAAGGGGCGGAAGCCUGAUGCAGCAACGCCGCGUGCGGGAUGACGGCCUUCGGGUUGUAAACCGCUUUCGCCUGUGACGAAGCGUGAGUGACGGUAAUGGGUAAAGAAACACCGGCGAACUACGU